rnacentral:lncRNA from 1 species
UUCUCAGACAACAAAAUAAUACAAUUAUUGUUGUCUGAUUUGUAAAAUAGAUAGGGAAAAAAUUAAGGCUGAGAUGUAGCAGAGGGAAAUCUCCCGCUCUUGUAAUUUAAGAAUGUUAUUUCUCAAACAACUAAAAUUUAGAAUUAUGUUAUAUGAUCUGGGAAACACUUGACUCAUAAAUACUUGACACUUGAAAAAGAAAAAGUACCGCUCACAAACACACACACAUACUCACCGCUCACACACGCACACACUCACCUCUCUUCUUUCUCUCUUCUCGAACUCAACCGCUCUCACUUUCUCUCUUCUCUCUUCCUCAAUUUCUUCUCAAUCACUCCUCUCAAUUUCUUUCUCUCUCGAACUCAAUCACUCCUGCCUCUCUUUCUAACUCGACAAACUCGCUCGACAGCGUCUCCCCAAAACCAAAACUUACAACUGAACCCUCACUCUCUCGAGUCUCGACAACAUCUCCCCACAACCUAGACCUCCAUCCUCGCUCCCUCUAUUUCCUGCACCGCCGCCCUCCCAAACCCUAACGGUAACUCCGCCUACUACCAAACUCGGGCCGCCCACACCGCAUCGUCACCAGCGAGCUAGUUAGCGAGACCCAGGCCGUUGUGGGCCGAAACCCUAGAAAGCAGGGAUCUAGGAAGCCGUUCAAUGUCAUAAAGGAGUUCAUUAGCUAGCGGUAGCAACCUGAUUUGUUUGAGGUCGUAGCAGCGAUUCGGGCCUUGGCGUCUGUUAUCUUGUAGAGCGAGGGCACGACCAUGAUAGAGCUCGAAAUUGAGCUCAAGAAAGCCGAUUCUCUUAAGGUCUCACUCAAUUUCUUAGCCCUUUUGAUUCUUUGAUGUUGUAUUUCAAUUUGAAUUGGUCUCUUAUUUUCUGAAUUUUGGGGAUUUUGAGCAUGGUAUUGAUCGAGUCCUAAAGCCCUGAACAUGAAUCAGCCGCUUCUGUUCUCUUUCGAGUUUCCGUACUCUGGGUUUGGGGAUUUCGGUGUUCCGGUGGAGUCUAGCAAGACUGAGAACGAUGAAGAAGAGUAUCUUGCUGGAUUGACUCGCCAAACGCUCAAUCGUCACCGACCACUUGGGAUCUGCUACAUGCGGUUGUAGGGGAGGUGGCCAAGAUGGGCAUCCACGAAGAAGCUAUCCCACCGCUCUCUGAACCUUUCUUU